rnacentral:rRNA from 1 species
AGCGAACGCUGGCGGCAGGCCUAACACAUGCAAGUCGAACGAACUCUUCGGAGUUAGUGGCGGACGGGUGAGUAACACGUGGGAACGUGCCUUUUGGUUCGGAAUAACUCAGGGAAACUUGUGCUAAUACCGAAUGUGCCCUUCGGGGGAAAGAUUUAUCGCCAUUAGAGCGGCCCGCGUCUGAUUAGCUAGUUGGUGAGGUAACGGCUCACCAAGGCGACGAUCAGUAGCAGGUCUGAGAGGAUGACCAGCCACACUGGGACUGAGACACGGCCCAGACUCCUACGGGAAGCAGCAGUGGGGAAUCUUGCGCAAUGGGCGAAAGCCUGACGCAGCCAUGCCGCGUGAAUGAUGAAGGUCUUAGGAUUGUAAAAUUCUUUCACCGGGGACGAUAAUGACGGUACCCGGAGAAGAAGCCCCGGCUAACUUCGUG